AACGAACGCUGGCGGCAGGCCUAACACAUGCAAGUCGAACGCUGCAGCAAUGCAGAGUGGCAGACGGGUGAGUAACGCGUGGGAAUCUUCCUAUCGGUACGGAAUAGCUCAGGGAAACUUGGGGUAAUGCCGUAUACGCCCUUACGGGGAAAGAUUUAUCGCCGAUAGAUGAGCCCGCGUCUGAUUAGCUAGUUGGUGAGGUAAUGGCUCACCAAGGCGACGAUCAGUAGCUGGUCUGAGAGGAUGACCAGCCACACUGGGACUGAGACACGGCCCAGACUCCUACGGGAGGCAGCAGUGGGGAAUAUUGGACAAUGGGCGCAAGCCUGAUCCAGCCAUGCCGCGUGAGUGACGAAGGUCUUCGGAUUGUAAAGCUCUUUUGGCGGGGACGAUAAUGACGGUACCCGCAGAAUAAGCCCCGGCUAACUUCGUGCCAGCAGCCGCCGUAAGAC
rnacentral:rRNA from 1 species